GAUGAAGAACGUAGCGAAAUGCGAUAAGUAAUGUGAAUUGCAGAAUUCAGUGAAUCAUCGAAUCUUUGAACGCACAUUGCGCCCGCCAGCACUCUGGCGGGCAUGCCUGUUCGAGCGUCAUUUCAACCAUCAAGCCCCCAGGGGCUUGUGCUGGGGCCCUGCGGCUGCCCGCAGGCCCUGAAAACCAGUGGCGGGCUCGCUAGUCACACCGAGCGCAGUAGCACAUCUCGCUCAGGGCGUGCGGCGGGCUCCUGCCGUGAAACCCCCCACUGUAACCCCAAAGGUUGACCUCGGAUCAGGUAGGAAUACCCGCUGAACUUAAGCAUACCAAUAAGCGGAGGA
rnacentral:misc_RNA from 1 species